UUGAUUCCUUUGAUCUCCUUCCACGGGUACAGCCUUGGCUUGCAAAGUUCUGAGCAUCAAAGUAUCAUAUAUGGGAGGUCCAUAUACUUCUACCUCAUCAUCAUCAUCUUCAACAAUUUCAACUCCAUCACUUUCAAUAUUGCCACCAAAUGAAUCACCAGAUUCUUCCUCUUCCUUAACCAACUCAUCACGCAUGUUAAUUGCUUCUCGGAGGGUCACAACUCGUUGAUUAGGACAAGCUCUAGAAAAGUGUCCAAAGCCUUGACACUUAAAACACCUAACCUUUGACAGGUUAGUCUCCUUGGCCGUGGCAAUGGGUUGUU
rnacentral:lncRNA from 1 species